rnacentral:rRNA from 1 species
UGCAGUCGCACGAUGAUCUCCAGCUUGCUGGGGGGAUUAGUGGCGAACGGGUGAGUAACACGUGAGUAACCUGCCCUUAACUCUGGGAUAAGCCUGGGAAACUGGGUCUAAUACCGGAUAUGACUCCUCAUCGCAUGGUGGGGGGUGGAAAGCUUUAUUGUGGUUUUGGAUGGACUCGCGGCCUAUCAGCUUGUUGGUGAGGUAAUGGCUCACCAAGGCGACGACGGGUAGCCGGCCUGAGAGGGUGACCGGCCACACUGGGACUGAGACACGGCCCAGACUCCUACGGGAGGCAGCAGUGGGGAAUAUUGCACAAUGGGCGCAAGCCUGAUGCAGCGACGCCGCGUGAGGGAUGACGGCCUUCGGGUUGUAAACCUCUUUCAGUAGGGAAGAAGCGAAAGUGACGGUACCUGCAGAAGAAGCGCCGGCUAACUACGUGCCAGCAGCCGCGGUAAUACGUAGGGCGCAAGCGUUAUCCGGAAUUAUUGGGCGUAAAGAGCUCGU